UAUUAUACGUGGCCCGCCAUGCAUAAUUUACAAAUCGUGCAGUUUCACAAUGUCAACACAAGGUGGCAGUAAUAGAAUUUAGGCCAGGGAAACAUUAACGCGCCCAAAGCGGAACGAAACAGCGCUACUUGUGCGCACCGCACAGGGCGCGACUCACGAGCUCACAAAUGUGUUUACUUGCUGAGUGUCUCGAUCACACGACCUUUAAACAGCCGGUGAGAAGUGUUCGAGUUCGGCGUAGAGGCCCCAGGCCAGCAAACAGAGGACACAAUAUGAGUUUCUCACCUCCAGUGGUGACUUAUGGGGAGUCAGCUCCUGUGGCCUUCUGGGAGACUAUAUGCGGAACAUGCCUCCAGCCACUGCCCGGCAACAAUUCCCCAAUGACAAAUACUUCUGUAUAGGAUCAUCACUAUGGCCACACAUAUACCAAGACCAGCUGAGCACAUGAGCAGGGCAGGAAAGUUGUCAUGUCUUUGAUUGUGGAAAUAAAUCUCAUGUCUGAAGCAACUUGCCGGAGCAGCAAACAGCUACUAUUCCAGCAGAAGAAAAACAAAUAGAGAAUCUUGUGCUGGUAUGCUGGAAUCUAAAUUGCGGUGUCCCUCGGGGGCUUCGGUUGACUGGCUGCUGACCUUUGCUGCCCUCGGACCACUAGCCACAGUUCAAACAAGAGUCACAAGGGACACAUCAAGGGCAACUGAGGGCUAAAGAGGAUUAUAGAUCAGCGGACACAUGCCUGACGUAGGCCGCUUGACCGAAACUUUGUAAUAAUACCGUUUGUUUUUGCAAGCAAUGGUUGUGUGAUUUUUUUUGUAAUUUAUUUUCUUCAAAUAAAUCGACAGACAUUGCAAAUAAUGCGUGUAUGUGCCUGCAUGACACUCUUAUAAUUCUAUUUAAGUACAUAAAACAGAAUUUUAGAUUUUUAUGUUCUACACAUUUUUUUUGAAUGCAAUAUUAAAGUGACUGAUGUUUUCAUAAAGUAUUAUUGUAUAUUACAACAAAAUACAAUUAAAAUUGUCUUUGACUUUUAUGAAUAUGUAAGGCAAAUCAAUAUUGCACACUCUCGAGAUUUUAAUUAAAAAUGAACUAUCUUUAAAGGUUUAAAAAUACCUUAGAUAUCUCGUAGAUUGUUUUGUCCUGGUCCAGCAGCUCUUUCUUUGUACUCCCAUUUUUGUUUUCUUACAGUUUUGAUCCCCACAGUACCUUCCAGAGAGAAUCAACAAUUUUUAUUGAGAUAUAACAAAUUAAAACAAAAAAUGACAAAGCAUACAAUAAAAAUAAAGCCUCUCUAGAGAUCUAUUUUAUGUUAAGCCUGUCAGUACAUGAUGCUUUCACAAGGGGGCAGUCACUUCUGUUCAAAUGCCAUGUUGUGAGCGGUUCUGAGUUCAAGUCAUUAUGCAGUGUACUUAAUUGCAUUAUAAUUGGCACUACAAACACCGUCCAACCUCAAAUACUGCAUAAUAUAUUUUUAACAACAAAUAAGACUCAUGUGGUAGCCAUAGCUCCAAUUCCCUCACUUCUUAAAACAUGAAAAACAAUAUCCAUUUAAAUUACACAAAUAUGUGUUUUGCAACUGACGUGCUCAUGUAUGUGAACUUACUGUUCCAGAGCGUAUUUGCAUUACGGGAAAUCAAGUAGUCUUUGAAAACAGCUCUCUGUGCAAAACUAAAGCGCCCAGGUUCGUUAUCUUUCUCAAGCGUCCUUUCAGUCUAUUCAUUUCUGGACAAAAAGAACAAGGUUAGGUCACCCAUUAUUACAAGUUCUCAUUAUUUAUUUUGCUGCACUCAACUGAGCUAACACAAUAAUGAAACUCUCAUUAUUUAUCACAGACAGUGGAUCGGUCAUUAAAAAGAUACCUUUCGAGAAGAUUCGCUCGUUCGGGCACUGGGAACGACGACCCUCAAAAGGACUGUUUGGUGGGCCUCAGAUAAAAUGGUUUGUGUGAAUGGAGUCUUCUUAGGACAAGAAAAGAACCUCUUCGGCUGUUUGUUUUGGAAUUUGUCUCAUUGAUCCAAGAGCGGCACCUAAAAGAGGAGGCCAGUAUCGACAAUAGCACUCAGGACAACAUUACUCCGGCGUCACAUGGAGGAGCACCAUUCACUGUUCAAAUUCAUUUUAUUCACGAUAACUUCGGCUUUAGAAGAUUAACUAGACUACAUUGUGCAUUUCAGAGAUUUUUUUUAUUUUUAUUUUAAUAAGUAAAACCCAAAAACUAUCAUACGUCAACAAAAUACUGACAGAACAAGAAUAAUGCCAAUUCUAAAAAUCAAGAAAAAAGGCAAGUCACGAGUUUUUCUUGACAAUCAUUUAUUAAACAAACUGAAAAGUAAUAAAUAAAGAUAAGUACUUAAAAUGUAUUAAAGACCAACAGAGCCAUUUAAGCUCGAAAACGGAUCCCAGCUAUACUGAAAUUCAAGAAAAAGUGAUUUGUCUUCUCAUUUUAAUAUGGAUCAGUUCUAAACCUCAUAUACUGUUAUUUGGCAUUAGGGUUAGAAAUGUUUAAAGACAUGCUUAUUGAAAACAUCUUAAAAAUGGGGUAAGUUUUUAGUAACAAAUUUUUAAUCAAUUUUGGUCACUUGUUUUGACUUUUAAUGGUGGGGGGGGGGAAAGUGGGAGAAAAUCAAAAUAAGGCAAAAAAAAACAAAAAAAACAAACAAAAAAAACCUUUAAGACUAAAAUGGCCCCGCUGAUGAUUACCAAAGGUUGUGAAUGUUUACAGUUAAAAUAAACUCCCCAUUGUAUCCAUCAAUCUUCACAGCUUGAUAAUCAACAACAGAGAGAGGAAGAAAAAAAAAGAAAAAAAAAAAAAAAACAGCUCUCAAAAUUUGUAUUACCAAGUGUGCUGUUGAUGAUAAUGGACGCACCUUUGCAAUAUAAAUGCCCCUGGAAGUCCACAACAUACAAAAUUUAUAUUUCUAUUUUAACUGAUAUUUGCUGAAAGCCAAGAUUAUGUCAUAUUUGACUGUGUAUUAGGGGCACCAAGGGUAGUAGAUUCGUUCAAAUAAAAUUCAUCAUAGCAACAAUCAAAAAUCAGGCAGGAUCAAUACAUUCAUUGUCUGCGUACCCUCCAAAAUCUCAAAAUGGAGGAUACGAAUAAGACUUUUACAGCAGGUUAACACUAAAAAAAGACUAAAAAAAAAAAAAAAAAAAAAAUACUUCAGAUAUGUCUUUGUGCGGUUUUGUAAAUGUAGUGCCAAAAGGUUACAACAUUAAAAUGGACAUCAAACACCAUGUUUCUUUGUGAUCAAGCCACAUGUUCUGCUUUGGCUCGUGCCUCUGCAUGUGUGCUUUCUGAUUUCCAGCAGGAAGUACUGUACACACUCAUGGGGGAAUACAAGCGUACUUGGCACCUUCACAUGAAAGAAAUCCAAUCCUGUUAUUUGAUGCAUUACAGAAAAUCAAUAGGCUCCAUACAGAAAACAUGGAGCACGCUUCCAGGAUGUGCUUGAUGUCACUGGACCCGAAAUUCAAAGUGAAACAUCUGACCGGUUAAAUGACGGGGAAGGGUAUCAGAAGAGCGGCGGCCACUGCUUUCGACAGUUUUUUUGAGUUAGCUUUUAUACUUGAUCAAAAUGCCCUUUUUAGAUUUACCCACCAGCAGCAGGGGUCACUGGGAGCCUGCAGGCACUGAUGUUAACACACAAACCGUCACUCUCACACACGCAUACACACUUAAAUUAUCUCUCAGUCUUCUACAGUCAAACAAAACUCUCCUUGUGAGAAGGCUGGCUUCAGUCCCUCUGAAAUAAAUACACCUUUAAAACAUACUUUUCUUCUCGAUCAAUCCCCUCACUAUACUCUCUAAGCUCGACUAAAACACUGUGUCCUCUUCAUGUAUCUUCAUGUAUCAGCAAUGAAAACCUUCCCUACAGCAGAACCCAGUUUCUACUUUGGAGAAGUAUAACAUUAAAAAAAAACAAAAAAACAACAAAAAAAAAA